rnacentral:rRNA from 2 species
AGUUGGCUUAGGGAUACGUUCGUUGGGUAGGGGAGCGUUCUGUAAGCCUGUGAAGGUGUGUCGUGAGGCAUGCUGGAGGUAUCAGAAGUGCGAAUGCUGACAUAAGUAACGAUAAAGCGGGUGAAAAGCCCGCUCGCCGGAAGACCAAGGGUUCCUGUCCAACGUUAAUCGGGGCAGGGUGAGUCGACCCCUAAGGCGAGGCCGAAAGGCGUAGUCGAUGGGAAACGGGUUAAUAUUCCCGUACUUGGUGUUACUGCGAAGGGGGGACGGAGAAGGCUAUGUUGGCCGGGCGACGGUUGUCCCGGUUUAAGCGUGUAGGUGUGUGUUCCAGGUAAAUCCGGUUCACUUUAACACUGAGGCGUGACGACGAGGCACUACGGUGCUGAAGCAACAAAUGCCCUGCUUCCAGGAAAAGCCUCUAAGCAUCAGGUAACACGAAAUCGUACCCCAAACCGACACAGGUGGUCAGGUAGAGAAUACCAAGGCGCUUGAGAGAACUCGGGUGAAGGAACUAGGCAAAAUGGUGCCGUAACUUCGGGAGAAGGCACGCUGACACGUAGGUGAAGUGAUUUACUCAUGGAGCUGAAGUCAGUCGAAGAUACCAGCUGGCUGCAACUGUUUAUUAAAAACACAGCACUGUGCAAACACGAAAGUGGACGUAUACGGUGUGACGCCUGCCCGGUGCCGGAAGGUUAAUUGAUGGGGUCAGCGUAAGCGAAGCUCCUGAUCGAAGCCCCGGUAAACGGCGGCCGUAACUAUAACGGUCCUAAGGUAGCGAAAUUCCUUGUCGGGUAAGUUCCGACCUGCACGAAUGGCGUAAUGAUGGCCAGGCUGUCUCCACCCGAGACUCAGUGAAAUUGAACUCGCUGUGAAGAUGCAGUGUACCCGCGGCAAGACGGAAAGACCCCGUGAACCUUUACUAUAGCUUGACACUGAACAUUGAGCCUUGAUGUGUAGGAUAGGUGGGAGGCUUUGAAGUGUGGACGCCAGUCUGCAUGGAGCCGACCUUGAAAUACCACCCUUUAAUGUUUGAUGUUCUAACGUGGACCCGUAAUCCGGGUUGCGGACAGUGUCUGGUGGGUAGUUUGACUGGGGCGGUCUCCUCCUAAAGAGUAACGGAGGAGCACGAAGGUUGGCUAAUCCUGGUCGGACAUCAGGAGGUUAGUGCAAUGGCAUAAGCCAGCUUGACUGCGAGCGUGACGGCGCGAGCAGGUGCGAAAGCAGGUCAUAGUGAUCCGGUGGUUCUGAAUGGAAGGGCCAUCGCUCAACGGAUAAAAGGUACUCCGGGGAUAACAGGCUGAUACCGCCCAAGAGUUCAUAUCGACGGCGGUGUUUGGCACCUCGAUGUCGGCUCAUCACAUCCUGGGGCUGAAGUAGGUCCCAAGGGUAUGGCUGUUCGCCAUUUAAAGUGGUACGCGAGCUGGGUUUAGAACGUCGUGAGACAGUUCGGUCCCUAUCUGCCGUGGGCGCUGGAGAACUGAGGGGGGCUGCUCCUAGUACGAGAGGACCGGAGUGGACGCAUCACUGGUGUUCGGGUUGUCAUGCCAAUGGCACUGCCCGGUAGCUAAAUGCGGAAGAGAUAAGUGCUGAAAGCAUCUAAGCACGAAACUUGCCCCGA